rnacentral:rRNA from 1 species
GAUAACUGUACUGAAUUCUCUUCACUUUUUAAUUCUGAAGAUGUGUACAUCCCUCCACCUUUUUUUUAAGCAGGGUCAUGCCUGGUUAGUACUUGGAUGGGAGACCACCUAGGAAUACCAGGUGCUGUAGGCA